rnacentral:rRNA from 1 species
UGGUGAGUAACACGUGGGAAACCUGCCCAGAAGCGGGGGAUAACACCUGGAAACAGAUGCUAAUACCGCAUAACAACUUGGACCGCAUGGUCCGAGUUUGAAAGAUGGCUUCGGCUAUCACUUUUGGAUGGUCCCGCGGCGUAUUAGCUAGAUGGUGGGGUAACGGCUCACCAUGGCAAUGAUACGUAGCCGACCUGAGAGGGUAAUCGGCCACAUUGGGACUGAGACACGGCCCAAACUCCUACGGGAGGCAGCAGUAGGGAAUCUUCCACAAUGGACGAAAGUCUGAUGGAGCAACGCCGCGUGAGUGAAGAAGGGUUUCGGCUCGUAAAACUCUGUUGUUAAAGAAGAACAUAUCUGAGAGUAACUGUUCAGGUAUUGACGGUAUUUAACCAGAAAGCCACGGCUAACUACGUGCCAGCAGCCGCGGUAAUACGUAGGUGGCAAGCGUUGUCCGGAUUUAUUGGGCGUAAAGCGAGCGCAGGCGGUUUUUUAAGUCUGAUGUGAAAGCCUUCGGCUCAACCGAAGAAGUGCAUCGGAAACUGGGAAACUUGAGUGCAGAAGAGGACAGUGGAACUCCAUGUGUAGCGGUGAAAUGCGUAGAUAUAUGGAAGAACACCAGUGGCGAAGGCGGCUGUCUGGUCUGUAACUGACGCUGAGGCUCGAAAGUAUGGGUAGCAAACAGGAUUAGAUACCCUGGUAGUCCAUACCGUAAACGAUGAAUGCUAAGUGUUGGAGGGUUUCCGCCCUUCAGUGCUGCAGCUAACGCAUUAAGCAUUCCGCCUGGGGAGUACGGCCGCAAGGCUGAAACUCAAAGGAAUUGACGGGGGCCCGCACAAGCGGUGGAGCAUGUGGUUUAAUUCGAAGCUACGCGAAGAACCUUACCAGGUCUUGACAUACUAUGCAAAUCUAAGAGAUUAGACGUUCCCUUCGGGGACAUGGAUACAGGUGGUGCAUGGUUGUCGUCAGCUCGUGUCGUGAGAUGUUGGGUUAAGUCCCGCAACGAGCGCAACCCUUAUUAUCAGUUGCCAGCAUUAAGUUGGGCACUCUGGUGAGACUGCCGGUGACAAACCGGAGGAAGGUGGGGAUGACGUCAAAUCAUCAUGCCCCUUAUGACCUGGGCUACACACGUGCUACAAUGGAUGGUACAACGAGUUGCGAACUCGCGAGAGUAAGCUAAUCUCUUAAAGCCAUUCUCAGUUCGGAUUGUAGGCUGCAACUCGCCUACAUGAAGUCGGAAUCGCUAGUAAUCGCGGAUCAGC